GCUCCUUUAUACAUGUGGAGGUCCCUAAGCCAUUCACUUUCAUUCCUCUAAUUUCUCUUUGGCCGACACAUGCCCAAGAAAGAACACCAAAAGUUGCUUUAAUUUCCUUACUUUUUCAUUAAUGAAUCAUUUCCUUUGACAUCCGAACAGCUUUACACAAUGUCAUAUCUCAUUUAAACCAUCAAUUUUAAGUCUUUCAAGGGAGGUUGGCCGAAACCUCCAUCCAUGGUAGAGGCAAGGGAUUCGGUGAGGAAGAACAAAGGGAGGGGGUUGUUUUUGUUGUUCUGGCCGCCUGCUCUUCUUGGCAACACAUACAAAAUGUUCAAAUGAUGAGACAAGAGAAUUUGACUCUUUAGAAGUGGUCGGCUGCAUUAAUGGUGGGCAAGAGACAAAAGUCUUGGCUCCCUUGUUUUUUCUUUUGUAUGGGUGUAUGUGUCCCCCACAAAUGAGCUUAAACCUUGUUGGGUGAAAACAAUUUAUCUUCCCGUUUUUUAUGUACCGAUCCAUAUUUUAUCUU